GGUAGAAAAAUUGUUCAUCACUUUCACUAAUAUUUGAAAAACUGUGUGUUCCUAAACGGUUGAAGAAAAAGAAGUCGUUAAAUUUAGAAAGUCUCCACCAGCCACCCAACCCCGCUUCAGUUUCAAUCCCAAAUUUCUUGUCCACGUUCCACUUUACGGCUGUCUUAAAACAUUUUUCUGCAUUUAAGAAUUGAUAUACAAUUUGUAGCUUUCCAACAAUUUCCCUGAUACAGUCAGUAUUAAUCAAGAUUCAAGCAUCGAACCAAAUUGCCAACUUUUGGAUUUGUUCUAUCCACAACACACUCAGUUCUUUGAAGUUUUCUGCCUCCUCCUUAAAAGAGUACACAAAACUGAAUACACUGGUACAUCUUGUAAGCUACUCGAAGCAUGAAUGCAAAAAAUGGGAAAAAUUUGAAUCUGUAGUUUAAUGUAGUCUUUUCUCUCUUUUACUGUCUGUAUUUAGAACAUUCUAUGCACUGCCCAUGUAAACUCUGGUUACAUACUGAAUCCCAUUUGUAUAUAUGUUAGCUAGUUGCCUUAACCAGAA